rnacentral:rRNA from 1 species
UACGGAGGAUCCGAGCGUUAUCCGGAUUUAUUGGGUUUAAAGGGUGCGUAGGCGGUUUGAUAAGUUAGAGGUGAAAUGUCGGGGCUCAACCCCGAAACUGCCUCUAAUACUGUUGGACUAGAGAAUAGUUGCGGUAGGCGGAAUGUAUGGUGUAGCGGUGAAAUGCUUAGAGAACAUACAGAACACCGAUUGCGAAGGCAGCUUACCAAACUAUAUCUGACGUUGAGGCACGAAAGCGUGGGUAGCAAACAGG